rnacentral:rRNA from 1 species
UACGAAGGGGGCUAGCGUUGCUCGGAAUUACUGGGCGUAAAGGGCGCGUAGGCGGAUGUUUAAGUCGGGGGUGAAAGCCCGGGGCUCAACCUCGGAAUUGCCUUCGAUACUGGACAUCUUGAGUACGGGAGAGGUGAGUGGAACUCCGAGUGUAGAGGUGAAAUUCGUAGAUAUUCGGAAGAACACCAGUGGCGAAGGCGGCUCACUGGCUCGUUUCUGACGCUCAGGCGCGACAGCGUGGGGAUCAAACAGG